CGCUGUCGCGCCUCCUGGACCCUCGCCGCGCGCCUCCAUCUGCCCCAUCGCCGUCGCCCCGUGGACCUCAACCAGCCGCCGGCGAAAUGGCCCCAAAGCGUGGUGGCAAGGCGCCUGUCCCGGCGAAGAAGAAGACGGUUCAGGUGACGAACCCUCUGUUCGAGAAGAGGCCGAAUCAAUUCGGCAUCGUCGGCGCGCUCCCGCCCAAGAAGGACCUCCACCGCUUCGUCAAGUGGCCCAAGGUUGUGCGCAUCCAGCGCUAGUGCCGCAUCCUCAAGCAGCGCCUCAAGGUUCCCCCGGCGCUCCACCAGUUCACCCGAACCCUGGACAAGAACCUUGGUAUAUUUCCUGGCCUGCACCUGUUUAUGU